rnacentral:misc_RNA from 1 species
AAUGAAGCUGCUGCAAAGAAGUUUGAGCAUGCUUCAGUAAAAAGGUCAUAUAAGCUGUUCUGAAGAAAGUACCUUAUCCACCAUGUUGAGCUCCGAAAUUUGGCUGGACGGCCAAACUUAGAUAACUCAGCAACCUUUGCUUUACGCUGACCUGGAUAGCCAGAAAAUAUAACAACACCACCAGAAGACACCCUUGCCAAUUCAGGAAGAGUUUUGUUGAGAUAUCUAGGAGACAAGUAAUCCAACGCAUCUGAAAUUAUAACAAGAGAAAAUGAUUUUGCCUGGUAAGGCAGCGGAAACUUGAUAUCAGCCACACGCACAAUGCCUUUGCGCACAAGACUCUUGCAGUUGGCAUCCACAUCAUCCAAGUCAUAUGGUUCCACACCCCAGGCUUCUGUUUCUUCUUCUUUCAACAACUUCAGUACUACAGAACAAGUGUCAGGGCCUAGGUGCAAUACUUUACGCAUGCUGUCACCAUAAGUUUUCUUCAGGAUAGGUAUUGCUCCUUGAACUUCUAAUGCACAUGAGCCACUACCUUCCAAUUUGCUGAAAGCUUCUCUUUCACUGAUAUGUCCACCUGAGCCACUGCAACAAUAUACUAUCAGAAGAAUUGCACCCACAACCACAAGGCCAAUAGAUAGCAAAGGCGACGAACGUGAUUUCGAGUGUCCAGAUCCAACAAAAGGGAGGCUUCCACCCUCAGCUAAGCGUCUAGCGGGAUUACCUGGCCUCCUUGACAUUGCUAUCUAUUCCUGAGAUCAAGAAUUGACAAAAAUAGGUUGAUUUUUGACAGCUUUUAAAAU